GCUUGUGGCCAUACUUCUGUGUGACAACCUGACCUUGGUAGCUAAGUAGGGACAAGCCUGGUUAAUACGUGGAUGGGGGAUUCCUUGGAAUACCAAGUGCCCCAAGCU
rnacentral:rRNA from 1 species